GUGGGGAAUCUUGCGCAAUGGGCGAAAGCCUGACGCAGCCAUGCCGCGUGAAUGAUGAAGGUCUUAGGAUUGUAAAAUUCUUUCACCGGGGACGAUAAUGACGGUACCCGGAGAAGAAGCCCCGGCUAACUUCGUGCCAGCAGCCGCGGUAAUACGAAGGGGGCUAGCGUUGCUCGGAAUUACUGGGCGUAAAGGGCGCGUAGGCGGAUCGUUAAGUCAGAGGUGAAAUCCCGGAGCUCAACUUCGGAACUGCCUUUGAUACUGGCGAUCUUGAGUGUGAGAGAGGUAUGUGGAACUCCGAGUGUAGAGGUGAAAUUCGUAGAUAUUCGGAAGAACACCAGUGGCGAAGGCGACAUACUGGCUCAUUACUGACGCUGAGGCGCGAAAGCGUGGGGAGCAAACAGGAUUAGAUACCCUUGUAGUCC
rnacentral:rRNA from 1 species